GUUUUGUUUUCAUUUUACCCACACAACUCAAAACCCUAGCGAGAGUUAAAGACAGAGUUAGAGAGAUAGGGGUUUAGAAGUUUGAUGAUGAAGGUGGGUUGGCCAUUGCCUUCGGCCGAUCAUUCAGCUCUGGCGAACGACCGAGCUGCCACGCCGGUAGUGUGAUUCAGUGGUCCUUUUUUCCGCGCCUGGGGUUCCAACGACUACACUCAUAAAUAUUACCCAUGUUCCCCUUCACUACCGUUCGAUCGCCAUUGCAUUCAUUGUGUUAAAUCCCCAAAUUUUGUUUCAGAUGCUUCUUCCCUGAUACGAGGGUUUUUGGAGACCAUGCUUCCUUAAUUACACGGAUAUUUUGUUGAAAUUUGUGUGAUGGAAUGGAUGGUUACUAGCUUCAUGCUUGGUUUUGAGGUUUCAGAAGCUGCAAGUGGUUAAGAUUUUAGCACCCACUUAAGAGAUGAACUAGGAAGUUUUAUUUAAGUUGAUUGUAUUCAUAUAUUGAAAAUCAUGUCACUCUAUUUGAUUUAAAAGAUGAAUGUACACAUAUGCACUCUAGGAUUUAAACUCCCAGCAGGUACAAAAUAUGACAAUGGAAUGUACACCAAAAGGAAUCUUGCUUAAGUUGGAGUGUUUUUGGGAUGUAGGUUCAGCAGGUGGAGAAAACAGGAAGCCACAUCGGUUUAAGCCUGGGACUCAGGUGCCACAUGAGAUUAGGCGUUUGCAAAAGAUGGUUGAUCUGCUCAUUCCUGCUGCUCUGUUCAUUUGAACUACAUGUUGAUUCCAGACACACAACUGAAGCAGAAAAUUGAAGAAUAUGUAAGGUCACCACAAAGGAUGCAACAUUGUGAAGAGAUGAAUAUGCAAAGCUGCUUUAGAUCUUCAAUUCGUUCAGCAGAUGGUAUUGGUCCGUUGAUUAGAAACUACUUUUAGACUGUUAUUUUAAAUUUGACAAAUAUUUUGAUCAAACUUGGGAUAAAGU
rnacentral:lncRNA from 1 species